AAGCCCAGGGCAGUGCACUGACUCGCUCAGUAUAACAGCGCAGGCGGAGAGGACGAGGAGCUCACACGGAGAACAGACGACGGCGACGGGCGGAGAUGGCGAUGCUGCGCGCUCUGAGAGAGAAGAGCUCAUUAAAACGAAGAUUACCGAAGAGAAUGGCGUCGAUCCGUUCAGAUGAAAGAGCAGAUCACGACGGUGGGGACAUGGAAUCAGAACAACUGGAUGAAAGAUGAUGGGGUUUCGUUCAGUCUUAUAACAUGUAAAUGUUCCUGAUCUUCCAAACGUCAAUAAAGAUGAGGAAAAUGAUUUUCGCUGUGAUGUUUGCCUGAAGAGGAAGAAAGCUUCAGCAAAGUUUCAAGGAAGGGAAGACUACUCUAACCGAUUCUGGACAGUCAAGUGGAGACUACUGCUUAAUGAGGAAGAUGGCGGCUCAUGUUUUGCUUUUGGAUUUGGAAAGAGACAUUUUGUAUGUUUGAUUUGCUAUUAUAUUUUAAUUCAUUCGCUAAUGUGCUCAACAAUUGUAUGUAUUUUCU